AUUGAACGCUGGCGGCAUGCCUUACACAUGCAAGUCGAACGGUAACAGGUCUUCGGAUGCUGACGAGUGGCGAACGGGUGAGUAAUACAUCGGAACGUGCCUAGUAGUGGGGGAUAACUACUCGAAAGAGUGGCUAAUACCGCAUGAGAUCUACGGAUGAAAGCAGGGGAUAGCAAGACCUUGUGCUACGAGAGCGGCCGAUGGCAGAUUAGGUAGUUGGUGGGAUAAAAGCUGACCAAGCCGACGAUCUGUAGCUGGUCUGAGAGGACGAUCAGCCACACUGGGACUGAGACACGGCCCAGACUCCUACGGGAGGCAGCAGUGGGGAAUUUUGGACAAUGGGCGCAAGCCUGAUCCAGCAAUGCCGCGUGCAGGAUGAAGGCCUUCGGGUUGUAAACUGCUUUUGUACGGAACGAAAAGCCCUGGGUUAAUACCCUGGGGUCAUGACGGUACCGUAAGAAUAAGCACCGGCUAACUACGUGCCAGCCGCCGCCGUAAAAC
rnacentral:rRNA from 1 species